AGUGGCCCGGGCUCGGAGCAGCGGCCACGCUGAUUGGCUAUCUCAUGUGUCGCUCCGUGGCAGCUGCAGACGCCAGCGGUUGGUGGGUAUGGGGCCUGGCCUGGUGUAGACAUAAGGCGAUAUCAGAGUGGAAAUCACUACAAUGGCAGGGUCAGUUGGGGAGAAUCAAAUACAGAGGAUAAUCCGUGAUCUAAAAGAUGCAAUUUCAGAAUUAAAUCGAGAACAUAAGGAAAUUGGUGAUCCAAUCACUGAUGAUAGCACAAAUCUCCACAAAUGCUGCUUAAAAUUAGAAUACCUCCUUCAGUUUGACCUGAAAGAAAAAACUUCAUUUCUUGGCAACAAGAGAGACUAUUGGGAUUUCUUCUGCAGUUGCUUAGCCAAGGAGAAAGGAGCAAAUGAUGGAAUUCGUUUUGUGAAAUCUAUUCCAGAGUUAAAAACCUCUCUUGGGAAAGGUCGAGCAUUUAUCCGCUAUUCUUUAGUCCACCAGCGCCUGGCUGAUACUUUUCAGCAAUGCUUAAUGAAUGCUAAAGCUACCAGUGACUGGUAUUAUGCUCGAAGCCCUUUGCUGAAUUCUCACCUCGGCUCGGAUAUUGUUACUCAUCUGUAUGACCUGAAUGAAGUGCAAUUUGACUUGGCAUCUAGAGGGCAUGAUUUGGAUGCUUCUUGGCCAACAUUUGCACGGCGAUCUUUUGGCAUGUCUUCUCCUUCUCAUUUUUGGAGACCACCAAGUAGAUGCUCCAGCAUAAGCAGUUUGAUUAGCAACUAUUCACAACCUCCAGAAAGUCUUACAAAUCUGGAACUAAAUAAUUCCUUAACAGUAGAGCAACUGGAAACCCUUGACGAGUUACGUGUUGAACUUGAUCAGUCUGAUAUAAAGCAAAAAGAAAUGCAUGAAAAGAUCGAACAUUUUGAACUGGAAAGGAGUGAGUUACAGAAGACAAUAUCAUUACAUGAGGAGACAAUAGAAGCUUUGAGGAAAUCGGCUGCUGAAUCAAUGGAGGAGAACCUCAUACUAAAGAAGAUAGUGGAAGAGCUGAGUCAGCGGUGCGAAGAUUUUGCUCAAGGCAGUAUGGCAGAAUCUCAAAAGUCUUUGCAAAUGUUAGAUGUUAGUUCCACAGAGAAACAACAGGCACUUCAGUCAAAGGGUGCAGAAUUGGAGACAUGUAAUAACCACUACCCAAACAAACUGCAGCCAUUAACACAAGAAGUGGAAAGUCUCAGGUCACACAGUGUAAAAGAUGCCACAUUUGAUGAAUUUCAGUCCAAACUAAUCACAGCAGAACAGAAGAAUAUAGAGCUGGUCAAAAAGAUAGAAGACAUUUUGACUGAAAAGGCACAAUUGGAGGCAACCCACUAUGAUUUAGAGCAGAAAAUCAAUGAACUUCGCGACAAGUUGAAUAAUGCUGAGAGAGAGGAGAUUGGAAUACAGAGGUUAAACAAUAUGCAGCAACUGCAGGUGGAAAAGCUAACAAAUGAUUUGAAAUCGAAAGACUUAAUAAUAGAUGAGCUUGAGUUGAAACUGAAAGGAACUACUUUGAAAUUUGAGGAAAAGAAUGCUAUGCUUGUGGAGAAAAAUGAAGAGCUGGAAUCUCACUUAAAUAACUAUGGUGAAAUAAAGAGUGUACAAGGAAGUGAUGCAACUGAACUUGAAUCAAUGCAAAAGGCAAUUCAGGAGUUAAGAAAUGAGAAAGAUGAGGCACAAGUCAAAUGUGAAGUAUUAGAUGAACAAAUAAGUACUCUUUCUAGCCAGCUAGUAGCUGCUAAUAAUGAGGCACAAAAUCAUCAGGAUGUUCGAAAUAAACUUUUCUGUGAGAAUGAAGAUCUUAGAAAAAAGGUGCAAGAAUUAGAAGAGAUAUUAGCUAAUGGUCAAAGUAUGUCAAGCCACAUUGUGGUUAACCAUCAAAAACUUGAACUUGAGAAUAAGAAAUGUCAACAUAUUGUGCAGAAAAGUGCUGAAAGAGAGGAAGCAAUGGGCAGAACAUGUUUGUCCUUGGAAACUAAUAGAUUCAGUGCAUCUCAGAAAGAGUUGCAGGGCCAGACAGCUGAUGCCAUGGUUCCAAUGGAUGAAAAAGAAAAAAAUCUAAAGGAAGAAAACAAUCAAUUUAAUGAGCCAUUACAAAAUUCUCCCAGGCAGUUUGAAACAGCAGAGGGCAAACUGAAAGAAAGUCAGACUGAAUUUGAUGAGUUGAGUGAUCGCUUGCUAAAUCUGCAGGCAGAGGAAAUGCUUUCGGAUUUGGAUAAUAAAUUAUUAAAGUUACAAGCAAAUGAAAAUUCUCCCAUCUCUUUGGUAGCUGAAAACAAAGAUAACCUGUUAAGGCAGUUAUCAGAAAACAUUGAAAAAUAUCAGGCAAAAGUAGAGAUGCUAGAAAAAGAAAAAUUGGCUCUUGAAGAUAAUGUUCAGAAGCAAACUGAGCUUAGUGAGGAUCUAAUAGUUGAGAAAAAUGCAUUAGUGAAAGCACAGGUGACAGAGAAAGACCUUUAUGAGAAAGAAAUGCAGAAGAUAAAUGAAGAACUAGCUACCACUAAAAAUCAGCUUGAAGUUGAGCAUAGUGAAGUGUCCAGGUUACAGGGAGUGAUUGAAGAACUUAGUUCAAAGCUUAAGUAUGCCGUUGAGGAAAAAGAAAGUAUACACAGCAAUCUUAAUCUUGCGGUAUGUUCCAAAGAGGAAUACAGAAACCUGGUUCAAAAUCUGAAGGAACAGAUAGAAUCAAACAGCAGGGAUCAUGCUGAAAAACUCUCGAUAUUAAAAGAAAAAGAAGAUUAUCUUAAAAAAGAGAGAGAAAAAUUUGCACAGCAAGUAAUUGAACUUGAAGAACAGUUUACAACGUUUAAAUGCGAAUCAUCUCAACAGAAAAAGUAUAUUGAAAAACUAACUUUUGAAAAUAUUGAGACCAAAGAUCUGCUUAAUAGGGUAAACACUGAAAUGGCAGAACUUGGCAUGCAGAUGUGUACACUGAGUGCCGAAAAAAAUGCCAUUGAGCAGAAAUAUAAUGACAUUUGUCAACAGCAAGCAACAGUUUUUGAGGUGAUGAAACUGGAACAAAGCCAGCUAAAUGUAAAUAUUUCUGCACUAAAGAAUGAGAAUGAACACCUUCAAGAGGAGUUAAAGAGAUCAGAAAAUUUAGCAGCAACUGUAGAGGAGCUGCAGAAAAAGCUAGUGAAAACACAACAGCAAGCAGAAAGUCUCCAGGAGGCUGCAAAGGAAGAGAUGUCUGCAGUCAAAUUUCAGAUAAGUGGAGAGGUGAUGGACUACCAGAAUAAAUUAAAGACUCUUGGUAAAGAAUUAGAGGCUGUUAAAACAGACCUCAAUGAACUUCAAAGUCAAAUGGCUUCAAACGAUCAACAACUUGUUGACGUUCAAGAUCUUAACAGUAACUUAAGAGAGCAGUUGGAACAGAAGGUACAAGUAAUUGCAGAAUCACAAUUACUGAGAAAUGAGGAGCAAGAAAAACUGAAGUGUCUUUCAGAAAACUUUGCCAGGACCCAGCAAGAGCUGGAAGCUGUAAAAAAGGAACAAGAAGAAUAUAAGCAACAAAUGGAAGAGAUGCAAGUGGAAUUGAAAAGAAAUGAACAACAACUUAUGGCUGAAGUGGAUGACUUGACCCGAACUAAGGAAUUUCUGGAGGAGCGCUUAAUUGAAUUAAUUAAAGAUAAAGAUGCUCUGUGGCAGAAAUCUGAUGCACUGGAAUUUGAACAGAAGCUCCGCACUGAAGCUCGAUGGCUUGGUGACAAGGAAGUUAAUUACUGUCUGGAUUGUAAAAGUCAAUUUACGUGGUGGCUACGUCGACAUCACUGCAGACUUUGUGGCCGUAUCUUCUGCUAUUAUUGUAGUAAUAAUUUUGUAAUGACAAAACACAGUGGUAAAAGAGAGCGCUGCUGCAGAGCUUGCUACACAGAACAUAGUGCAGUUGUUCAACGGUUGAAUGAUCCUGGAUCAUCAGAUACAACAAACAGCCCUGAUGAAUCUCCUUCACGAUCAAUCUCAGAAAGGCAAAUUUCCAGAAACACAGGAAGUUUCACCAAACCAGAUGAUGCAGCCUUUGAUAUUAUCACGGAUGAAGAGAUCAAUGAAAUUGAAGACAAUGAUUGUUCUUUGGAAUUCACGAACCAAAUUAGCUCUAAUCUUCCAGAGUCAACACUUCAAGAUGAUCCAUCUCUAAGUCCAACCUGCGAUACACCAUCCGUUGAUGGUGCAAGGUUUCCAGCUGAAGAUGGAUCCAGACAAUCUAUGCAAGAUGUGGAGAUUAAUUUGUUGAAAUGUGGUGAAAUGACGCUCAAAAUACCCCUCACAGUGGAUGAGAUUCGACAGUUUGGAAAUAGUAAUAGAGAGCUGUUUAUUAAAUCCAGUUGCUACAGUCUUAUCCCUAUUGCAGUUGAAGAAUGUGGAUUGACCAUUAGCUGGGUCUUUUCUUCUGAUCCAAAGAGCAUAUCCUUUAGCGUUGUUUAUCAAGAAUCUGAAGAAACUUCAUAUGAAUACUGUAAGGUUUUAAUUCCUUUAACACGCUGUAAUUCUCAUAAGGAAACAAUACAAGGCCAACUGAAGGCCAGAAAUCCAGGACAGUACUUGCUGAUAUUUGAUAACUCAUUUUCAAGGUUUACGUCAAAGAAGGUGUUUUAUCGCUUAACAGUUGAAAAACCCAUAAUCUAUGAUGGAAGUGAUGUUUCUGAACCAUGAUAUAUUUGCACAAUUUUUUUAACCUGUUCAAGUGUAACCAAAUAUGGGGCAAUAUUUUCAAAGCGGGUGAUGGAGGGAGAAGAAGAUUGAGAGAACCGACUUUAGGAUUCGAACCAUCUGGAAUGCACAAUUCAAUGGAGUCCAGGAUGGAAAAUUCUAUCGGUGAUCGGUAAAUAAGAGUUGACGCCGUGAGUACAAGGACUCCUCCAGUUUUUGGAAGAUUUGAGCUCCAACUUGUGCAUAUUUGACUGUUUUAAUUAUAGUAGGCCCUUUUAUUUAUUUUUUUAUUUCUUCUUUAACAACUGUUUGAUUAAGAUGACAAUCAUAAAUACACCUCUCUCAUAAUUAUAUGCAGUGUAUGAUCUGUUAUUUUUUGCUGAUGGGUAAUUGCAAAUGGGCAUCAUUUACAGUACUUGUUCAGAUUAGGGUGCAGGUGGUUGAAGCAUCCCGGCUCUUCUGCUCUGGUGGGACCCAAGUCAUCGACCGGAGAUGUACAGAGUUCCAGAAAGGUGGUUUUCUCACUGCUGGAUCCUUGUUAGCGAGGGGUCAACCAGCCAUGUUUCUAGAGGCACCUAGUAAAAAGGGGUUUCAUGUGUUUUUGCCAGUAUUUUUUGCUCUACAUUAUAUUUUCUUCAGAAUUACAGAAAUAAUCCCAAAGAUCCAAGCAGUCAAGACCACAGAUACAAUCUGAAUAAUCAUGACUCUGGAAACUACUAAAGGAAACAUUUCUUACUGCAGUAGCAAGGAAUGGAGAAAAUGGGGAAGUGGUGUUGCAAUUGAAUUAUAUACAUGAAU